UCGAACGCUGAAGGCCCAGCUUGCUGGGUUGGAUGAGUGGCGAACGGGUGAGUAACACGUGAGUAACCUGCCCCCUUCUUUGGGAUAACGGUCGGAAACGGCUGCUAAUACCGGGUAUUCACUGUCCUUCGCAUGGGGGGUGGUGGAAAGGUUUUUUCUGGUGGGGGAUGGGCUCGCGGCCUAUCAGCUUGUUGGUGGGGUGAUGGCUCACCAAGGCUUUGACGGGUAACCGGCCUGAGAGGGUGACCGGUCACAUUGGGACUGAGAUACGGCCCAGACUCCUACGGGAGGCAGCAGUGGGGAAUAUUGCACAAUGGGCGAAAGCCUGAUGCAGCGACGCCGCGUGAGGGAUGACGGCCUUCGGGUUGUAAACCUCUUUCGCUCAUGGUCAAGCCGCAACAGUGGUUGUGGUGAGGGUAGUGGGUAAAGAAGCACCGGCUAACUACGUGCCAGCAGCCGCGGUAAUACGUAGGGUGCGAGCGUUGUCCGGAAUUAUUGGGCGUAAAGGGCUUGUAGGCGGUUUGUCGCGUCUGCCGUGAAAUCCUCUGGCUUAACUGGGGGCGUGCGGUGGGUACGGGCAGGCUUGAGUGCGGUAGGGGAGACUGGA
rnacentral:rRNA from 1 species